CACGUAGGGUGCGAGCGUUGUCCGGAAUUAUUGGGCGUAAAGAGCUCGUAGGCGGUGUGUCGCGUCGGCCGUGAAAACCUGCAGCUUAACUGUGGGCGUGCGGUCGAUACGGGCAUCACUGGAGUUCGGCAGGGGAGACUGGAAUUCCUGGUGUAGCGGUGAAAUGCGCAGAUAUCAGGAGGAACACCGGUGGCGAAGGCGGGUCUCUGGGCCGAUACUGACGCUGAGGCGCGACAGCGUGGGGAGCAAACAGG
rnacentral:rRNA from 1 species